rnacentral:rRNA from 1 species
CGGCAUAAGCUCAAAUUUGAAAUCUGGCUCUUUCAGAGUCCGAGUUGUAAUUUGUAGAAGAUGCUUCGGGUGUGGUUCCGGUCUAAGUUCCUUGGAACAGGACGUCAUAGAGGGUGAGAAUCCCGUAUGUGACUGGAUACCUUCGCCCAUGUGAAGCUCUUUCGACGAGUCGAGUUGUUUGGGAAUGCAGCUCAAAAUGGGUGGUAAAUUUCAUCUAAAGCUAAAUAUUGGCCAGAGACCGAUAGCGCACAAGUAGAGUGAUCGAAAGAUGAAAAGCACUUUGGAAAGAGAGUUAAACAGUACGUGAAAUUGUUGAAAGGGAAGCGCUUGCAAUCAGACUUGCGUCUAGUUGAUCAUCCUGGCUUCUGCUUGGUGCACUCAACUAGACUCAGGCCAGCAUCGGUUUGGGUGGUUGGAUAAAGGCCUUGGGAAUGUAGCCCUCUUCGGGGGGUGUUAUAGCCCUCGGUGCAAUGCAGCCUACCUGGACCGAGGACCGCGCUUCGGCUAGGAUGCUGGCGUAAUGGUUGUAAGCGACCCGUCUUGAAACACGGACCAAGGAGUUGACCUAAUUAGCGAGUGUUUGGGUGUUAAACCCAUACGCGUAAUGAAAGUGAACGGAGGUAAGAACCCUUAAGGGUGCAUUAUCGACCGAUCCUGAUGUCUUCGGAUGGAUUUGAGUAAGAGCUAAUUGGGUCUGACCCGAAAGAUGGUGAUCUAUACGUGAAUAGGGUGAAGCCAGAGGAAACUCUGGUGGAGGCUCGCAGCGGUUCUGACGUGCAAAUCGAUCGUCAAAUUUGCGUAUAGGGGCGAA